AGUGAACGCUGGCGGCGUGCCUAAUACAUGCAAGUCGAACGGAGUGGCGCACGGGUGGGUAAUGUAUAGCUAAUCUGCCCUAUACUAGAGGACAACAGUUGGAAAAGACUGCUAAUACUCCAUAGUGUAGGAUGAGGCUAUAUUGUAUCAGCUAGUUGGUGAGGUAAUGGCUCACCAAGGCUAUGACGCAUAACUGGCCUGCGGGGAUGAUCAGUCACACUGGAACGGAGGCACGAGUCGGGAUCCUUCGAGAAGCAGCGGUAGGGAGAUUUAGUCAAUGGGGGAGUCCCAAGAGCAGCAACGGGUCGUAAAGUAUGACAAUUUUCGAAGAAUAAACUCAUUUUGUUAGGGAAGCGGUACCUAACGAAUAAGCACCGGCUAACUCCGUGCCAGCAGCCGCGGUAAUAC
rnacentral:rRNA from 1 species